ACGAACGCUGGCGGCACGCUUAACACAUGCAAGUCGAACGAGAGAAGAGGAGCUUGCUUUUCUGAUCUAGUGGCGGACGGGUGAGUAACACGUGAGCAAUCUGCCUUUCAGAGGGGGAUACCGAUUGGAAACGAUCGUUAAUACCGCAUAACAUAAUUGAACCGCAUGAUUUGAUUAUCAAAGAUUUAUCGCUGAAAGAUGAGCUCGCGUCUGAUUAGCUAGUUGGUAAGGUAACGGCUUACCAAGGCGACGAUCAGUAGCCGGACUGAGAGGUUGAUCGGCCACAUUGGGACUGAGACACGGCCCAGACUCCUACGGGAGGCAGCAGUGGGGAAUAUUGCACAAUGGAGGAAACUCUGAUGCAGCGAUGCCGCGUGAGGGAAGAAGGUUUUAGGAUUGUAAACCUCUGUCUUCAGGGACGAAAAAAGACGGUACCUGAGGAGGAAGCUCCGGCUAACUACGUGCCAGCAGCCGCGGUAAUACGUAGGGAGCGAGCGUUGUCCGGAAUUACUGGGUGUAAAGGGAGCGUAGGCGGGAUCGCAAGUCAGAUGUGAAAACUAUGGGCUUAACCCAUAAACUGCAUUUGAAACUGUGGUUCUUGAGUGAAGUAGAGGUAAGCGGAAUUCCUAGUGUAGCGGUGAAAUGCGUAGAUAUUAGGAGGAACAUCAGUGGCGAAGGCGGCUUACUGGGCUUUAACUGACACUGAGGCUCGAAAGCGUGGGGAGCAAACAGGAUUAGAUACCCUGGUAGUCCACGCCGUAAACGAUGAUUACUAGGUGUGGGGGGACUGACCCCUUCCGUGCCGCAGCAAACGCAAUAAGUAAUCCACCUGGGGAGUACGACCGCAAGGUUGAAACUCAAAGGAAUUGACGGGGGCCCGCACAAGCAGUGGAGUAUGUGGAUUAAUUCGAAGCAACGCGAAGAACCUUACCAGGUCUUGACAUCGUAUGCAUAGCUCAGAGAUGAGUGAAAUCUCUUCGGAGACAUAUAGACAGGUGGUGCAUGGUUGUCGUCAGCUCGUGUCGUGAGAUGUUGGGUUAAGUCCCGCAACGAGCGCAACCCUUACUGUUAGUUGCUACGCAAGAGCACUCUAGCAGGACUGCCGUUGACAAAACGGAGGAAGGUGGGGAUGACGUCAAAUCAUCAUGCCCCUUAUGACCUGGGCCUCACACGUACUACAAUGGCUGUCAACAGAGGGAUGCAAAGCCGCGAGGUGGAGCGAACCCCUAAAAGCAGUCUUAGUUCGGAUUGUAGGCUGCAACCCGCCUACAUGAAGUCGGAAUUGCUAGUAAUCGCAGAUCAGCAUGCUGCGGUGAAUACGUUCCCGGGCCUUGUACACACCGCCCGUCACGCCAUGGGAGUCGGUAACACCCGAAGCCUGUAGUCUAACCGCAAGGAGGACGCAGUCGAAGGUGGGAUUGAUGACUGGGGUG
rnacentral:rRNA from 1 species